GGAGAGCCAGAUCUUCGGAGAUUCCUCUCUUUCUGGGUCUUAUAAUCUGCUUGCCUCAGGCACAUUUUCGGAGAUUCCUCUCUUUCUCUGUCUUAUAAUCUGUUUGCCUUUGGCCAGUCCUUUUGUUUUGCGCCUCUCCAAAAGAGAAAGGGACCUGGUGCAUUCUUUAUGAGUUAUGAAAAGAGAAGCAGCUGCUGUUUAAAUUGUGCUCUGCGACACAUUUUGAUUUAUUAAUAUAAUUGAUAUUUUAAAAAAAUAAUGUCAAGAAAGUGAUACCUUAAGUGCAAGAUGUUGUGCGUUGAUCCACGUUUAAAGAACGUCUCUUAUUGAUAUUUUUUAUAAGAUUCACAACGUAACCAAAAAAAAAUUUGCUUCCGUUACCCCUAGGUGUCGUGAUGAAAUGUUUUGUGCCAAUAAAAAUCCCUGCAGAGUUUUACACAGUUCGAAAAGAUAAGUUAGCCAGGGAUUCCGGUGACUCGAACAAAUGUUUACGAAAGACGAUGACAAACAUUAAAAACAAAUUGACAAAACACAAAACUAGAUUUUGGAACAAUAACUGUAGUUCAACAUAUAAAUAAAAUAAUACAAUUUAAAUAAAAUGAAGCAAAAUAUUAAUAAAUUGAAUCAAAGUCAGCUGUCCAUCUCCGCGAGAAGCUGACCGAAGUGCUGCAAGUCUUCGCAGAACCCUCAUUUUUAACUAACGGAAAGUUGUGGACAUUCGGUACAAGCUGAUGCUCCUCUAUCCGACGAUCACUGAGAGUAAACAGGUGGUGCUAGAGUAGCACAGGAUGGCGAUGGACACCCAAAAAACCUAUGCGGUAUUGGGAAACUGCCUCUCCAUCGGAAUUACGACCGUUUGCCAGGAAAAAAACUUAGGGAAACUAGACGAGGCCAGCUGCAUUCCCAGGCUCUUAAAAGGAGGACAAGCUCUCUGCGAUCACCUGAGAAACGACCAAGAGAUAGUGGAGUUGGUCUUCAACUUCAACGGAACGCUCAUAGCGGACUCUGGAAGCAGCGACGAUCUUCGGCUUCGCCUUGUUACUAUACAUCGCAUGGAGAAAAAUAACCUCCACCAAGGGCAUUCCAACGCAUCGAGGCACCGUCGUACUGGAGGCGCACACCAUCAGUGAUCAGUAAUGAGAUGCUGAUUUACGGGACGCAUAACAGCACUGACUACCUGAGUUAACAGUUAACAGCACCGACUCCUGUCCCCGCCCCGUACUGACUCGGCACAACAUCAUCCGCCGGCCACCAUGCGCCGACCGGGCACUGACCCACUGGCACGGGCACUAACCUACUUGCCCCCGCCCCCGUGCCAAGUCAGCACAGCAACAUCCGCCAGCCUGCUGACUGCUCACCGUGCAAGUGGAGUACGGUGGGAAAUGCAAGAUCGGCAAAAGCUGACGCUGACGCUGACGCCGACGUCAACGCCAACCCACCUAGGGCUGAUGGUAACAGAAGAGAGAAUGUACCGACACUCUGGAUUUGACAGCGACUAGAUAAUAUUUGGUUAACACAAUUAUAAUUUUGAAACUGAAGUCUUCUGCUGAAUUACUUGGACUUCAAGGAAAGCUUGGGACCUAACUUUCUGGACUAUCGAGGAUUUAACUCCGUCAUGACUAGGUAUUGAACCGGUCAUUCUCCAGGACCAAGCCAAACUAUGGAAAAGGACUUAACUUGCAUGCACAUAUGUAUGUAUAUAAGCGGUCAGUAUGGGAACCAUGCUGACUCGGCUCUAAGCGCGGUAUGCUAAUAGUGCAGAUCAUAUUACGUUUGCACUUGAAAUGGCUGUGGGCACUUGGCACGCUGUCGCUGAGUGACAAAGACAAUGCUCUAUGUACAAGUUAACUAUGGUCAGCCAGACCAGAGUCGUUGACCACAGUCAACAUCAUAAUGAAGCUCCGGCCAGACUGCUGACCCAGCAAUGGGCCGGAUGCUCGUGCACAGAAGGCAGACACUGCAUAUUUGUGUGGCCGCUGUGAGCCUUUGUUAGCUUUAAGUUCUUUUCACAUAUUCAGUUCAUAUUUGAUAUUCAAUAAAUAAAGAGCACCAGCUCUCAUGCAUGAAACUCCGGCACUUAGCCGUUAACUCUUUUAUUAAUUAUUAUACUGACUGAGUCACUAGGCCAGCGGUAUCGAAGGACAGUCAUCCUUCCACCGUAAUCUCCCUAUCUCAACAUAGGAGCAGUACGACCAUCCCUUGGGAUCUACAGCGACGUGGCCACCAGCGGCAGUUACCUUCCGCCGACCCUCGCCACGGAUAUCCAACCAGCGGCAGUGACCUACCGCCGGCCCGGACAAUCAAUUGAGGAAGGAAGUCGAAGCGACCACCCGACUCUCCAGUGGCUGCCAACCUUGGCGGUCACCAAUACCUAAUCAGCCGGCUCUACCCCUGCCACGGAGGCAUAGCCAGCCGGCUUUGCAAUAUUAUCAAUUUACACAAAUUGGAAUAUUACUUGUUUUAAUUUACAUUAUUGGCAUAACAACAAAGUGUUGUGACUUCGGCUAACAAAGUGUUGCCGCUCAAUAUUUAUUUUAUGUGAUAAGAAGGCAUAUUGGCAUACAUUACAACAAAAUAACCCAAAAAAUUCUGGUUUCCUUACCUGAAAGUGGCGUGAUGAAAUCCUUCAAAAGGUUUUAAACAGUUUGAAAAGAAACAAAUUAUUAAAAAACAAACAUAAACUUGCAAAUAAUAAUUGUAAUUCUUCAGAAAAUUUAAAUUAUAUAUUUUAAAUAAAAUAUAGUUCGAAGUAAAUUAAUAUAUAUGU